rnacentral:rRNA from 1 species
UACGUAGGGUGCGAGCGUUAAUCGGAAUUACUGGGCGUAAAGCGUGCGCAGGCGGUGAUGUAAGACCGAUGUGAAAUCCCCGGGCUAACCUGGGAACUGCAUUGGUGACUGCAUUGCUGGAGUAUGGCAGAGGGGGGUGGAAUUCCACGUGUAGCAGGUGAAAUGCGUAGAGAUGUGGAGGAACACCGAUGGCGAAGGCAGCCCCCUGGGCUAACACUGACGCUCAUGCACGAAAGCGUGGGGAGCAAACAGG